rnacentral:lncRNA from 1 species
UGGACUGGGUGGCAGGUUGGGGUACUGGGUUGGGGUGGUAGGUUGUAGGGCUGGGUUGGGUGACCACAGGGAUCUUAAUAAGUCCCCAGAGGUACUGUCCUGAAAGCCACGUCUGCCACAACAGGAGGAUCACAGCAUGAGGACAGAAGUAUUGUAUUCAGUGGCUCCUGAAAUCUAUGUCCUCAAGUGCCAUGCCUUGACUAGAGUUUAUGGGGCCCUGACCAGCACGAUGCUGCCACUACUCAUAGACCUGGUUGGAAGUGCUACCUCUAGGACAGGUGCUUUCCCUCGGAGGGACCUCUGUCCUCAUCGUGGGAGCCUUCUGUCCUAGGCAUAAGGUAGACAGAGGCUAUGCCUCCUUCAGGAAGAGACACUGCUCUCAUAACUCCUGGUCAGUGCUGAGUCACAGGCACUGAGGAAGGCCGUGAGGGCUUUGAGCUGGGAUCACUGUCAUCUCUAGACUUUAGAAGGGCUCCUCUGAGGACACUCGGGCAGGAGCACACCCUCCCUCAGCUCCAGUGCCAGCUCUGCUGGUCACAGAAAACACUGGAAGAGGACAACAGGGUCCCAUGUCACUGCUUCUAGAGAAAUGUACAACUGAGAACAAUAGGCUUUCUCUCACAGGGUAGGUGACGGGGUAGGUGACUCAAGGAUUGGUACUGGCUAGGAGAUCAACUCUGUAGUGGGGGGGGGUUGUUGGAGGAACGGGCAAUGUCCGGGUUUAAUGGGAUGGGGACAAUAAAGAAUGUGUAUGAUCAAUCC